rnacentral:rRNA from 1 species
AGGAUGAACGCUGGCGGCGUGCCUAACACAUGCAAGUCGAACGUCCUGUCUCGCAAGAGGCAGGGAGUGGCGGACGGGUGAGUACCACGUGGGUCAUCUACCGUGAGGUGAGGAAUACCGGCGAGAAAUCGCCGACAAGACCGCAUAGGCUCGAUGCAAGUCGAGCAAAGCUCUUUCGAGAGAGGGAGCGCCACACGAGGAGCCUGCGCCCGAUUAGCUAGCUGGUGGAGUAACGGUUCACCAGGGCGACGAUCGGUAGCUGGUCUGAGAGGACGAUCAGCCACACUGGGAUUGAGAACGGCCCAGACUCCUACGGGGGGCAGCAGUGAGGAAUUUUCGUCAAUGGGGGCAACCCUGAACGAGCAACGCCGCGUGCAGGAAGAAGGUUUUCGGAUCGUAAACUGCUUUCUCGGGAAGAGAACGGACGGUACCCGAGGAAUCAGCCCGGCUAACUACGCGCCAGCAGCCGCGGU